rnacentral:lncRNA from 1 species
GUUGACCCAGCCUGAGGCUGUCCUUGGCUACACGCCCCACCCCGGCCUCGCUGGGUUCUGUGCUUUCUCGAACCUGGACUGCGGGUCCUACCGUUUUCUGUCUAGCGCGCCAUUCACCAGGUGGUUUCGAAACAGAGGCAAUGAAUGGAGAAAUCUCCCUAAGGUCAGCAUUCUAAUUAAUUGCCUCACUGUGGCUGCUAUAGUAUUACAACUCUUGGAAUAUACAGCAUCGAUUCUACUAUCAAAUUUGGCGUGUGCCAGCACGGCGGAC